rnacentral:rRNA from 1 species
GACGUAGGGCGCGAGCGUUGCCCGGAUUUAUUGGGCGUAAAGAGCUCGUAGGCGGCUUGUCGCGUCGUCCGUGAAAACUUGGGGCUCAACCCCAAGCUUGCGGUCGAUACGGGCAGGCUAGAGUUCGGUAGGGGAGACUGGAAUUCCUGGUGUAGCGGUGAAAUGCGCAGAUAUCAGGAGGAACACCGGUGGCGAAGGCGGGUCUCUGGGCCGAUACUGACGCUGAGGAGCGAAAGCGUGGGGAGCGAACAGG